GAAACCGCUGCCUUGAGAUCCGAGCCGCGAUCCAGCCAGGCCGGAAGCCCCAGUCCCACUGCUUCCAUAGACUGAACCAGCAGGCUACUGCACAGCCUCACAUGGACAAACUGUUGGAUUUCACCUGCCACAUGCUUUAUUUCAUAUUUUGAAUUUAGAUGGACUUCGCACCAUACACUUUCCCUCCCUGUGAUUUGUGAUUUUAUUAUUUAUUGUUAUGCAAGGAUUAAACAUACCAAAAAGAUGAUCGGGAGCUGCGUAUUUGGCUGGAAAGGCCUACGAUUGACUGAAUGCAACACAUAAAAAGGAAGGAUUCUUAUAUGGGUUACAUUUGAUUUUUCUGCGGCCCUAUCCGGAUUUCGGAUUACUCUGCCCUCUUCGGAAUGGAAGGACGGGAUUUUGCAGCUCAGGCGCACCUUCUGUCAGAGCGGGGCGCCCUCGUGCAUCGAGCCACCUCUCGGAUCGCUCCCUCCGGACACGGCUCUGUGCAGCACGCCGGUCACUUCCCGCCGGGGAAAUACUAUCCCUCGCACAUACCAAUGGGUCCCCACUCAGGCAGUGGAUUGAUGGGCAAUUCUUCCGCCUCCUUCAUGGGGACCUUUCUGGCCAGUAGUCUGGGUUCUCCCCCGUCACACCCGUCCCACCCGCCUCACCCGUCCCGGCCGCCC
rnacentral:lncRNA from 1 species